rnacentral:rRNA from 1 species
GUCUACGGCCAUGCGACUCUGAAUUAGCGUAAUCUUAUCUGAUCUCAGAAGCUAAGCAGUGUCAGGUUACUACUUGGUUACUACUUGGUUGGGAGACCACCUAGGAAGACCAGGUGCCGUAGGCA